GCGGGCGCGCGGGCGAGCCGCGGUGACCCGGCGGCUGAGGGUCGGCGCGAAGAGUGCUGUGCUGCGGGGGGCGCGCGUCCUGCGCUUUGCCCUCUGUUCUCCCGUUACCUCGCCUUGGCGGUGCAGCGUGGCCCCAGCGCAGGGCCGUGACCUUCGAUGAUGCGGACGUGGGCUUCAGAGACCAAGGGUGGAGUCACCUGGACUGGCCUGGGAAGGCCUUUGACACGGACACGCCGGGGCGGGGGCGCCGGGUCAGGACACCCCUGUGGCCCCCAGGCAGUGCGACUGGAAGGCCUCAUUGCGGCUUCUCACUAACUGUGGACCUCUCUCGGCAUUUUCGGCAUUUUCCGUUUCCAAUGUUGUGGAACGCUUCAGGGUCUGGAGAGCUUCCAGAACUUUCUGGAUAGCAGAGCUCAACCUUCUUCUGUUUUUGAGGCACAAAAAGGAUUUGCCUGCCAGGUCCAUCCCAGCCUCAGAGUAUGUUAUGCCCCUCAGAGCAUAUUUCUCCAACUUCUCUCGAAUACAGGGAAUCGGUCUUUAGUUCCUUUUAUCACUAUAAUCCUCUGUCAUCAGAAUGAUUUAAUUAGAUUAAAUUUGGAGGGCUAUUAAGGUGAAAGAUUCGCAUCUGGAGUUUCUCAGCCCCCACCCCCACCCCCAUAUUUCGUAGUUACAAAAGAAGUCCCCCAGUAUAAAUGUUGGAAAAAGUAUGUACUAAUGGAUGGAGUUGAAAUCCAACCUUGAUAUGAAAAAGUGGCAGAAAAGAGAUUCCCAGGGUAUCUGGAAUGCCAGAAACAUAGCCCAGGCUUUCUACCCAUUUUCUGUAUUUCUCUGGUGAUCAGCAGAAAAACCUUCAUCUGAGAAGCUUAUUUUAGGUUAGCAAGGACAGCAAGAUAGUGGGAAGCUGGGAAGUCUACAGUUGGUCAUGGAAAGAUAGGAAAGAAGGAAGCAAAUGGAAUAUCUGGAGCCAGUGAGAAGGAGCCAAGGGGCAGGAGCAAGGAGGAGGACAGUUUGCCUGCCUGGAGCCAUGAAAUUAGGGGGUUCGUCAGCAGAGUUGCCCUCAUACCCUGAUUCCUUAACAUGCUGACCCUUUUCCUUGCCCAUAAAUAGGAUUUUCAGUCUAUAAAACUGAAGCAGUAAGCUAUUUGGAAAGUGGGGAAGCCUUGUGUAUCUGGACUGGACAAAACCAUAGCCAGUAACCUAUGCCCAACAUGGGGCGCAAACUCAGGACCGUGAGAUCAAGAGCACAUGCUCUGCUGACUGAGCCAGCCAGGUAUUCAUAGCACUUACAGUUUUUAUGUGUUCUAUUUAGAAUCUGCAUUUUCAUUUUUCUUUGGAAAUGGAGGCAGAGUAGAGAAUGGGAGUUUGGAUCUGGACCCCCUCAAAUUCUCAGAACCCUCAUGUUCAAAUAAGCACCAAUCUGAAUCUGGCCCCUAUUCUGACUUUGGACUGAGAAAAGGUCUCGGUGAUGGCAGUGGGACCUCCAACCCUCCUUCCUCACCUCUGUCCUCUUAGUGAAAUUACUGGGACUUCUCAUCCCAGUGAACAGGAAGAGGACAGACUGUUUUGCCUAUAGAAGGUGAAGACCUUUCCUGGUUGCUUGAAGGGCCAAGAGCCCAUUCCUGUUCAACUUCUGGUUGCUGGGGCUUGAUACCUGGCCCCAGUGUAGGAUUGAUGCACUCCCUAUGACUCAGACAGCUUGGGUCAGUCCUCUUACAGAUUUGCUAAAAGCAAAAAGAAUAACUUCAACCAUCAGACAUUGAAACAGUUGGUGCUUUAUUGCUGAUAAAAUUAAUUUAAACAUUUGAUUGUCAAAUUCUCUUUAAAAACAAAAUCCAAUAAAGCCACUGUUUUUAUUCCUUUUUAUCUCCAUGCUCUUAUGAAUAGACAAAGUUGCUAGUAAUGAACCUCUUCCUGGCUUAAGAAUGAAAAAAUCACACCUUCCAAAAAAACCUACCAUAUCUAUUGAAAUAGUGCUACUGGGACUACAAAUUAUUAUUAUUAUCAUUUUAAAGAUUUUAUUUAUUUAGAGAGAUCGAAUGUGUGCAAGUGGGGGGAGGGGCAGAGGGAGAUAGAAUAUCAAGCAGACUCUGAGCUGAGCAUAGAGCCUGAUGUGGGGCUCGAUUUCAUGACCCUAAGAUCACUAUCGGAGCUGAAAUCUAGUGUUGGACACUCAACUGACUGUGCCACCCAGGUGCCCCUCAGGAUUACAAAUGAAGUAACCAAUCAGAAUCGUCGAUAUUAAAUUCUUUAAAAUUUACAGACUUUGAAGAUCACUUUCCCAGGAUGUAGUAAGUGUCUGAAGUCCAGGAGUUUGAAAGACUCCUUAAAAAUAACCUCAGCAAGAACACUUUCGGGACAUUGUAUGGUGCUUGCUUUUCUGCAGCUGUAGAAGAGAGAAAUAUUUUUUCCUCCCGAUUUCGCUGAGACUUUUUUCACCGGUAGUUGGGAAGUUCUGUAGUUUCAAAGCCAGACUUGGGAUUCUGUUAAUUAGUACAGGAGGAGGGAAGAGAGAGGCAAAUUUAAGAAGCUAAAAAUUCACAACAUAGGAAAAGGGCUGGGUAGGAUAAUUGUCAAAAAGACCAUGGGAAUGUAAAGGAGUCCGUUUUCCAUCUGUAGAAUGCAGAAGACACUUGUUUGGUAGAACAUGCAUCAAAUUUAAGUCCCAUCUGGUGUCAGCUAUGGACGUGGUCUUUGGCCUGAAAUCAUGGCCUCCUGUCAUUAUUGUAUCUGUGGCUUCUGACAUUAUAUUGCGGCUGUAACCCCUGGAGUCCAGUGGGAAAAGGGGAACAGAGGUUCACUGGUGGCAUAGACUCUGACCCUGCUGAGUUCAGAUGGAGCUGCUACUCAGAAUAGCUCCCUCCCUCCCCUCCUCACUGAGGCUGGGGUGGUGUCAGGGAUCUCUGGAGGACCAGGGACUGAGAGAUCAACUAACCUUUCCUGCCUUUCCUUCUGAAACACUUUUCACUCUAUCAGCUCUGGGAAGCUGGGCCCUCAUCCUGGUUGUAAAGCCUCUCUGCUUUCAGUCCAGGGAUUUCAGAGAUGAAGAUCCCAAACUCUUGUGGGUAGUAAGCCCUUGAAAUAGGUCUUCUGGAUUAUUUUCUAGUAAACAGUGGUUUGAAAAGAGUGGUUUCUUCCUGCCACGUAAGUAGAUGGUUUUCAGGUGAAGAGCUGGAAUUUACCCAAGGCCUCAGGGAAUGCUUUGAUUUUAACUGGGUAGCCGCAUAUCCCAGUUUGUUUGAGGCAUUUCCAGUCAAGACCCAGUGUCCUGGUGUAAUUAUUAAUAGCAUUCCCUUCCACUCUCAGAGGUAAGAAGUAUCCCCAUUGUGACAACAAAUUAUAUGGUCCCUGGAGUUCUAAGGCAGCUCACAUUUGCUGAAGGAUUAGUUCCUACUCUCUGAAUUACCUCUUCAGUCGUUCAGGCCGGAAUCAGUCAGACUGACUUGCCUUCAGACCCCUCAACAGGCAAGCUUUGGAAUCUCUCUCACCACAGGUAGGUCAUACAGUUGGUUUCCAUCAUUAAUACAGCCUCUGGCAUGUGAGUAUGGGAACUGUAGGUUGCUGUGUGCUUUAACAACUUCCUCCCUGAGGGAACACUGACAAAUAUUUGAAACCCAGUCAUAAACACCCUAAAGAGAAUGAAGCAUUGACUGGAGUGGCUUAUUAACAACCUCUAAAAUCCCCAUCACUUUAAAUUCUUUUCUGUGAGACUUUUUUGUUGUUGUUGGAACAUUUUAUUUAUUCAUGAGACACAGAGCGUGCCAUGGGGAGCCUGAUGUGGGAUUCAGUCCCAGGACCCUGGGAUCAUGAGCUGAGCCCAAAGCAGACGUUCAACCACUGAGCCACCAGGUGCACCUUCUGUGGAUACUUUUUAAUGCACGGUUCAGGCAGCUCCAGGGCAGAUGUGCUGUUGGGCCAGUGCAGGCUUUUAAAAUAAGCUGAACUGGGGCACCUGGCUGGGUCAGGCAGCAGAGCAUGCAACGCUAGAUAUCGGGGUUGUGAACUCGAGCCCUCAGGUGGGUGUAGAGAUUACUUAAAAAUGAAAUGUUUAGGGGUACCUGGGUGGGUCAGUUAAGUGUCUGGCUCUUGAUUUCAGCUCAGGUCAUGAUCUCAGGGUUGUGAGAACGGGCCCUCCAA